rnacentral:rRNA from 1 species
UAAUACGGAGGAUGCAAGCGUUAUCCGGAUUUAUUGGGUUUAAAGGGUGCGCAGGUUGUUUGACAAGUCAGUGGUGAAAGUCUGCCGCUUAACGGAAGGAUUGCCAUUGAUACUGUUGGACUUGAGUAUGGAUAAGGUAUGCGGAAUGUGUAGUGUAGCGGUGAAAUGCAUAGAUAUUACACAGAACACCGAUUGCGAAGGCAGCAUACUGGGCCAUUACUGACGCUGAGGCACGAAAGCGUGGGGAUCAAACAGG